AUUGAACGCUGGCGGAAUGCUUUACACAUGCAAGUCGAACGAUGAACCUUAGCUUGCUAAGGGGAUUAGUGGCGAACGGGUGAGUAAUAUAUCGGAACGUACCUUGUAAUGGGGGAUAACUAGUCGAAAGAUUAGCUAAUACCGCAUACGCCCUGAGGGGGAAAGUAGGGGAUCUUCGGACCUUACGUUAUAAGAGCGGCCGAUAUCUGAUUAGCUAGUUGGUGGGGUAAUGGCCUACCAAGGCGACGAUCAGUAGCUGGUCUGAGAGGACGACCAGCCACACUGGACCUGAGACACGGUCCAGACUCCUACGGGAGGCAGCAGUGGGGAAUUUUGGACAAUGGGCGCAAGCCUGAUCCAGCCAUUCCGCGUGAGUGAAGAAGGCCUUCGGGUUGUAAAGCUCUUUCGCAAGGGAAGAAAACUUACAUUCUAAUAAAGUGUGAGGCUGACGGUACCUUGAUAAGAAGCACCGGCUAACUACGUGCCAGCAGCCGCGGUAAAAC
rnacentral:rRNA from 1 species